rnacentral:rRNA from 1 species
NCUUGAGAUGUUAUGUGUUGAUAGACCGUGGAUCACUCGGCUCGU